UACGUAGGGUGCGAGCGUUGUCCGGAAUUAUUGGGCGUAAAGAGCUCGUAGGCGGUUUGUCACGUCUGCUGUGAAAUCCCGAGGCUCAACCUCGGGCCUGCAGUGGGUACGGGCAGACUGGAGUGCGGUAGGGGAGAAUGGAAUUCCUGGUGUAGCGGUGGAAUGCGCAGAUAUCAGGAGGAACACCGAUGGCGAAGGCAGUUCUCUGGGCCGUAACUGACGCUGAGGAGCGAAAGCGUGGGGAGCGAUCCGG
rnacentral:rRNA from 1 species